rnacentral:rRNA from 1 species
UACGAAGGUCCCAAGCGUUGUUCGGAAUCACUGGGCGUAAAGGGAGCGUAGGCGGCGUGGUAAGUCAGAUGUGAAAUCCCGGGGCUCAACCCCGGAACUGCAUCCGAUACUGCCAUGCUAGAGGAUUGGAGAGGUAGCUGGAAUUCUUGGUGUAGCAGUGAAAUGCGUAGAGAUCAAGAGGAACACUCGUGGCGAAAGCGAGCUACUGGACAAUUCCUGACGCUCAUGUACGAAAGCGUGGGUAGCAAACAGG